UACGGAGGGGACUAGCGUUGUUCGGAAUUACUGGGCGUAAAGCGCACGUAGGCGGAUUUGUAAGUCAGGGGUGAAAUCCCGGGGCUCAACCUCGGAACUGCCUUUGAUACUGCAAAUCUCGAGUCCGGAAGAGGUGAGUGGAAUUCCUAGUGUAGAGGUGAAAUGCGUAGAUAUCAGGAGGAACACCGGUGGUGUAGACGGCUCACUGGACCGUAACUGACGCCGAGACACGAAAGCGUGGGUAGCAAACAGG
rnacentral:rRNA from 1 species